UCAAGACCAGCUUGGGUAACAUAGGGAGA
rnacentral:piRNA from 1 species